GUGCUCACCUUGGCAGCACAUAUAUUAAAAUUGGAACGAUACAGAGAAGAUUAGCAAGGCCCUUGCACAAGGAUGACAUGCAAAUUCGAGAAGUGUUUCAUAUUUUU